rnacentral:ncRNA from 1 species
AUACAAGCAAUGAACAAGAAGAGUAGUGGCCAAUGCUGUCUCAGAGAAUGGGUGGAAGCUGGAAAACCCUGGCAGACAUAGUCAUGAAGUAACUUGGGAGCUGUCGGGAGGAAAGCAGUACUUCUGACUGGUGGGACAGUCCAUUAACACUGUCAUUGAGAGACCGCAGCCGGUAUCAGCUGUCUGUGGUAAUAUAGGUGGUACCGCGAAGCAUUCGUCCUAAAA